rnacentral:rRNA from 1 species
CAUGAAGUUGGAUUCGCUAGUAAUCGCGCAUCAGCCAUGGCGCGGUGAAUACGUUCCCGGGCCUUGUACACACCGCCCGUCAAGCCAUGGGAGCUGGGGGUGCCUGAAGUUCGUGACCGCAAGGAUCGACCUAGGGCAAAACCGGUGACUGGGGCUAAGUCGUAACAAGGUAGC